UCGAACAAACGAUGACGCUAUUGUGGAUACAGCAAAAGCGGCGUUACUGGGCUCUACUGGACGACGAUGGUCAUUUGGACGUGACGACGGUGAAGGAGGUGAAGUAGCGAGGUCAUUGGUUGGAGAUGGGGUCGUAAAGACGAUGAAAAAGAUGAAACCAGCCAUGGUCGCUGGAGAGGGAGUUGCCGAAACAUAUCUUAG
rnacentral:lncRNA from 1 species